GACGUAGGGCGCAAGCGUUGUCCGGAUUUAUUGGGCGUAAAGAGCUCGUAGGCGGCUUGUUGCGUCGACCGUGAAAACCCGGGGCUCAACUUCGGGCUUGCGGUCGAUACGGGCGGGCUAGAGUUCGGUAGGGGAGACUGGAAUUCCUGGUGUAGCGGUGAAAUGCGCAGAUAUCAGGAGGAACACCGGUGGCGAAGGCGGGUCUCUGGGCCGAUACUGACGCUGAGGAGCGAAAGCGUGGGGAGCGAACAGG
rnacentral:rRNA from 1 species